rnacentral:rRNA from 1 species
UACGUAGGGAGCAAGCGUUGUCCGGAAUCAUUGGGCGUAAAGCGCGCGUAGGCGGCCCGAUAAGUCCGCUGUGAAAGUCGAAGGCUCAACCUUCGAAAGCCGGUGGAUACUGUGGGACUAGAGUACGGAAGAGGCGAGUGGAAUUCCUGGUGUAGCGGUGGAAUGCGCAGAUAUCAGGAGGAACACCAAUAGCGAAGGCAGCUCGCUGGGACGUUACUGACACUGAGGCGCGAAAGCGUGGGGAGCGAACAGG